ensembl:lncRNA uncharacterized LOC109320601
AUGGGGAAAUUGAAGCGUAAGCUCUUUGGAAAGGGAAAGCAGAGGAAUGCAUCCUCUGGUGAAAAUGCACCAAUGCUUUCCCAAGCGAUGCCCGAGAAGCAGGAAACCCAUGGCUUUCAGGGAAUUAAAAAUAUAGCAGGUGCACUGCUGAAGAAGGCAAAGAGUGAGAAGGAAGAUGAUAGAGAGAAGCUUGUGGCCACACAGGAGCCAAAAUCCUCAGAUGAAGCCAUUUGUCAAGUCAUAGAUCAAAAGAAUUUUUUUGAUGCUUGUAAUCAUAUUUUUGAUCUGGAACAAUCUACACCUGUGGAUAAAGCUAAGAUUGAUGCACUUUACAACAAACUAGAAGAGAGAAUGUGGGAAGUUGUGAAAAGAGCAGUUCAGAGUGGUGAUGGUGUGUUACUAGAGCCCCUGAAAUCAGUAGCUGCCUCACUGGAGUGGCAGAAACAGAAAAAAAAAGAAGAGUUUGAUAGUAACAAUGAAAUGGAAGACACUUCAACCUGGAGACCAAAGUACUGGAAUAAGGAUCUGGAGAAUCUGUUAAUAGACUGCAUGGCAGCACAGUUCCCCUCUGCUGAAUCUGCCAUUAGCACAGAUGACAUGGCACUAAGAAAACAUCUGAAGCGACUGGAAACCACAGUUCUUCCCACCUUGGAAUGCAGAAGAGCUUUCUUCAAAGAAGCAGGAUUGCUCACCAGCUACAGGAAAUGCUGUAAUGUCUGCUUAUCUUCUCACCUUACCACCCUUACAGACUGUGACUUUAACUUUAGCAGAUGUCUUUUAGUUUAUGAAUGGGGCCUUAAGAUGUGCAAAAGUGAGAAGCUUCUGCAACCCAGUUGGACUGUGGAGCAGAAGGUCUCCGUGGAAGCCCUGUGUCUUGUGCGGAUUUUUUCAGAUCUGGAGGAAAAACUACUUGCAGCUGCAAAGGAGGAAGUAAGAGAAGCACUGAAAGAAGCCAUUACUCCCAGGAAAAAACUGAUCACAGACACUGCAGUUGUUAAGAUAUUGACAGAAGGGACAGAAGCUGUCCGGCAUAUCAGUGAGAGACUGAGGGAGAGAGUGGAAGUGGCAUGUCUGGAGGGAUUUCGGCAGUUUCUGUGUAGUUAUGAAAAUGAAGAAAGGAGCCUUCACCAACCUGACAGGCCUUCUGAGAGCUGCUCCAAGCUGCAAGUAUUUGAGAACUGCAUUGUUCUCAGAGCUGCCUGGCACAAGCUGACGUACAUCUAUAACACUAAUGCUGACAUGGAUGCCAAAGUAAAGGAAAGUAUAAGCAAGAUAGAAGAAGAGGGUAGAGAAUAUCUUUGGAAGGCAAUUGCUCCGGAUGUCAAGGUUACACUGAAGAAUCACUUCAGAAGUCACGAUUCUCAUCUUGCCAAGUUUCUAGUACCUUUAAAUUCAAACUUGUUAGCAUUUGAGAAGAAAGGAACAGAUAGUUAUGAGAUGCUCAUCAGGGCUGUCCACCACAGGAUCGCCAUGGAGUACAUACAGGCUCUCCUGACAGGCUCCAGGAAGUCACGUCUUACACAGCAGAGGCCAAUUACCCACAGAAUUAAACAAGACUAUGAAACCCUGCAAGACCUCUUUGUCAAAUGCUUAGGUCCUGAAGCAUCUUCAGGAAAUAAUCCUAUAAAAGUGAUUCUAGAACUUAAUGAAGAUACUGACUUAGAAGGAAAGAAAAUACACUUAAUAAAGCUUAUACCCUUACUCGAAAAGGUUCCACAUUUAAGGAAAGAACAUCUGACCACCAUUUUGGAUAUGGAAGGCACUCUCAGUCGAGCAGAUAGAAAUAAUCUAUUGAACAUGAUUUGUGAAAGUGGUGUGCUUGCCAAGAGCAGAGGCAACUCGCUUUCUGAAAACAUAAGAAAAGUGGCUUGGAAAUGUGGACGCUGCUGCUGCUUCUGCAGUUAGGAGAGAUACUGGGUGAGUUACACCAAACUCUGACCUGGGACCUCCAGACAUGGGCAUGCAGUAGGUUAGGCUGCUAGAAAGGAGAUGAAGCAAUUACAGAAGCAAUUAAUAAGCAAUGAAAUUUCCCCAAGUUAUUAGAAACCAAUUUCAAACCAAGGCUGCAACUGAACUCCAACUAGCUUCAAGCAUCAAGGACAACAAAAAGUCCUUUUUCUGAUAUGUGGGGAGCCGGAGGAAAAGCAAGGGCAACGUUGGACCCCUGCUAAACCAGAUGGGGCAACUGACAACUGACGCG